CCAGCUUGCUGGUGGGGAUUAGUGGCGAACGGGUGAGUAACACGUGAGUAACCUGCCCUGGACUCUGGGAUAACCCCGAGAAAUCGGAGCUAAUACCGGAUAGGACCUUUCCUCGCAUGAGGUUUGGUGGAAAGUUUUUCGGUCUGGGAUGGACUCGCGGCCUAUCAGCUUGUUGGUGAGGUAAUGGCUCACCAAGGCGUCGACGGGUAGCCGGCCUGAGAGGGUGACCGGCCACACUGGGACUGAGACACGGCCCAGACUCCUACGGGAGGCAGCAGUGGGGAAUAUUGCACAAUGGGCGCAAGCCUGAUGCAGCAACGCCGCGUGCGGGAUGACGGCCUUCGGGUUGUAAACCGCUUUUAGUAGGGAAGAAGGGCUUCGGCUUGACGGUACCUGCAGAAAAAGGACCGGCUAACUACGUGCCAGCAGCCGCGGUAAUACGUAGGGUCCGAGCGUUGUCCGGAAUUAUUGGGCGUAAAGAGCUCGUAGGCGGUUUGUCGCGUCUGCUGUGAAAACUAGAGGCUCAACCUCUAGCCUGCAGUGGGUACGGGCAGACUUGAGUGGUGUAGGGGAGACUGGAAUUCCUGGUGUAGCGGUGGAAUGCGCAGAUAUCAGGAGGAACACCGAUGGCGAAGGCAGGUCUCUGGGCACUUACUGACGCUGAGGAGCGAAAGCGUGGGGAGCGAACAGGAUUAGAUACCCUGGUAGUCCACGCCGUAAACGUUGGGCGCUAGAUGUGGGGACCUUUCCACGGUUUCCGU
rnacentral:rRNA from 1 species